AGGGGGUGCUCUCCCCUGGCAGUCGGUUCUGGGCUGACGCCCUAGAGGGCGCUGUGCUGUAGAGGGUGGGGGCCAGCAGGGGGCGCUCUCCCCUGGCAGUCGGUGCUGGCCUGAGGCCCUAGGGGGCGCUGUGCUGCAGGUGGGGGACCCACCAGGAGGCGCUCUCCCCUGGCAGUCGGUGCUGGCCUGAGGCCCUAGGGGGCGCUGUGCUGCAGGUGGGGGCACCCAGCAGGGGGCGCUCUCCCCUGGCAGUCGGUGCUGGCCUGAGGCCCUAGGGGGCGCUGUGCUGCAGGUGGGGGACCCAGCAGGGGGCGCUCUCCCCUGGCAGGCAGGGCUGGCACUAGGGGGUGCCCUGCAGCUUGUCUCACCUGGCC